rnacentral:pre_miRNA from 1 species
GAGACACCCUUAUGCAGGACUUGCUUCAGUGGGGCUUUGGUGCCCACUGAGUCUGCCCCGAGUGUGUCUUU